AUGAGUGUGGAGUACAAUAUGGAUGAAGCUUUGAAAGCACGAAAUACUGCAGAGAGCAAGUUUCAUGCGCGUGACCUCAGGGGCGCACGCAAGUAUGCGGUCAAGGCCCAGAAUCUCUGCCCAUCGCUUGAGGGCAUAUCCCAGAUGGCGUCGACUCUUGAAGUUCAUCUUGCAGCAGAGUCCAAGAUUGAUGGAGAGAGUGAUUGGUACCGGAUCUUGUCCCUGCCCGCCUUUGCAGAUGAAGAGGAUGUGAAGAAGCAGUACAGGAAGCUAGCUCUCCAGCUGCACCCUGAUAAGAACAAGUCAGUCGGUGCUGAGGAGGCCUUUAAACUGAUCUCUGAGGCGUGGAGUGUGUUGUCUGAUACUAGUCGGAAGGCAAUUUAUGAUCAGAAGAGGUCAGAUCAUUCUGUUGUCAACGUAACCAAUGGCAUGUAUACGUAUGACAAGAAGGCGACCAAGAGAGCUCGAAAGAAUGCUGCUGCUGCCGCCGCCGCCGCCGCUGCUGCUGCGGCUGCUGCUGAGGCUACUGCUCGUCCUGCUGGUGUUGAUACUUUCUGGACAUCUUGCAAUCGCUGCCGUAUGCAGUAUGAGUACUUAAGAAUGUAUCUUAAUCAUAACCUUCUGUGCCCAAACUGCCAUCAUGCGUUCAUGGCGGUAGAGACUGGAUUUCCUUGCAACGGAAGCAGUUCAUCUUUCUCCUGGUCAACCAAGCAGCAGCCACAGAACCACAGUUCCACCAAACAUUCAUAUGGCUCAACAAGCAGGACUUCUAGCAUUCCGGGGACAGGGCAUGUGGGGUAUCAGCAAGAUAGCACUUAUGAUUCCUACAACAGUCAAAGCUUUCAGUGGAAUCAGUACUCCAAGACAGCGCCUGCAGCUGACACAAAUGCUUACAGUACCCAGGCUUCCGAGAAACCUAGAAGAAAUGAAGAGAGCUACAGCUACAACUACCCUGAAAGUGGAAACACAUGUGACCCUGAGAGAACUACUUCAAGGCGUGGCCGGUUUGCAAAGCGGAGAAGGCAUAGUAAUGAUUAUACUACUGUGGAUUAUGCUGGAGAUAACAAAGAAACAGUGGUUGCAAGCACAGAGACAAAUGCUUUCACAGAUGUGGGGCGGGUUAAUGGCACUUCAGUGGAAAAGAUGAGAUCUGCAGUGAGUGUAAGGAGAGCCAAUGUUUUGAGAGAGAUCUCCCAGAUUGAUACACGGGGUCUACUUGUUGAGAAAGCCAAAGAAGCCGUCCGGGGAAAAUUGCAAGAGCUGAGCAUGGCAGCAUGUUCACGGUUUGCAGAGAAAAGAAAGUCAGAAGGAAAGGUAUAUCCUAGUGACAACAACAUAAAGGCAAAUGGGGUCCUCUCUGGCAAGCUUGGCAAAGGACUCAAGCUAUGCAGUUCAAUAAGUGUCGACACCCACGUACCUGCAACUGCAGCUGAUGAAAAGAAUCCAGAACAGAAGCGUGUGCCUGUUUCAAUUGAUGUCCCAGAUCCUGACUUCCAUGAUUUUGAUAAGGAUCGCACAGAGAGAGCUUUUUAUAGCGACCAAGUAUGGGCUACAUAUGACAGUGAGGAUGGAAUGCCUCGUCUAUAUGCAAUGGUGCAGAAAGUUCUUUCAAUGAGACCUUUCAGAAUCCGCAUGAGUUUCCUCAAUUCCAAAUCCAAUAUUGAACUGUCGCCAAUAAACUGGGUUGCCUCUGGUUUCCAGAAAACAUGUGGCGAUUUUAGGGUUGGAAGGUACCAGAUUACGGAAACAGUCAACAUAUUUUCGCACAAAGUCAGCUGGACUAAAGGCCCCCGUGGGAUUAUCAGAAUUAUUCCUCAGAAAGGUGAUACAUGGGCUUUGUACCGAGACUGGUCUCCUGAUUGGAACGAGCUUACACCUGAUGAUGUGAUAUAUAAAUACGAGAUUGUCGAAGUUAUUGAUGAUUUCACUGAGGAGCAAGGGCUGACUGUCAUUCCAUUGUUGAAGGUUGCUGGCUUCAAAGCUGUGUUCCAUAGGCACAUGGACCCCAAGGAGGUCAGGAGGAUACCAAAGGGUGAGCUGUUUCGUUUCUCGCAUCAGGUUCCUUCUCGACUGCUGACUGGUGAAGAAGGCAACAAUGCCCCGGAAGGUUGUCAUGAGCUCGAUCCUGCUGCAACCCCAGUGGACCUUCUUAAGGUUAUUACAGAGGUGAAUGAAGACGUGGCGGCACAGACUGCUGAAUAG
rnacentral:rRNA from 1 species